rnacentral:rRNA from 1 species
UCGACAAGUGAAUUCAUAGCUUGUCAGAAGGCAGACCCGGAGAACUGAAACAUCUUAGUACCCGGAGGAAGAGAAAGAAAAAUCGAUUCCCUGAGUAGCGGCGAGCGAAACGGGAAGAGCCCAAACCAAUAAGCUUGCUUAUUGGGGUUGUAGGACACUCUAUACGGAGUUACAAAGGAAUAUAUUAGACGAAUCAUCUGGAAAGUUGAAUCAAAGAAGGUAAUAAUCCUGUAGUUGAAAAUAUAUUCUCUCUUGAGUGGAUCCUGAGUACGACGGAGCACGUGAAAUUCCGUCGGAAUCUGGGAGGACCAUCUCCUAAGGCUAAAUACUCUCUAGUGACCGAUAGUGAACCAGUACCGUGAGGGAAAGGUGAAAAGUACCCCGGAAGGGGAGUGAAAGAGAACUUGAAACCGUGUGCUUACAAGUAGUCAGAGCCCGUUAAUGGGUGAUGGCGUGCCUUUUGUAGAAUGAACCGGCGAGUUACGAUCUGAUGCAAGGUUAAGCAGGAAAUGUGGAGCCG